CCUACGGGGGGCAGCAGUAAGGAAUAUUGGUCAAUGGACGCAAGUCUGAACCAGCCAUGCCGCGUGGAGGAUGAAGGUCCUCUGGAUUGUAAACUUCUUUUAUUUGGGAAGAAACUCCCGAUUUCCAUCGGGAUUGACGGUACCAGAUGAAUAAGCACCGGCUCACUCCGUGCCAGCAGCCGCGGUAAUACGGAGGGUGCAGGCGUUAUCCGGAUUCACUGGGUCGAAAGUGGGCAGAGGAGGGCGGGGUGAAAUCUCCGGGCUUAACCCGGAAACUGCCAUGGAUACUAUUGGUCUUGAAUACUCUGGAGGUGAGCGGAAUAUGUCAUGUAGCGGUGAAAUGCUUAGAUAUGACAUAGAACACCCAUUGCGAAGGCAGCUCACUACGGAAAUAUUGACGCUGAGGCACGAAAGCGUGGGGAUCAAACAGGAGUAGAUACCGGAGUAGUC
rnacentral:rRNA from 1 species